rnacentral:rRNA from 2 species
UUAAGUUAACAAGGGCGCAUGGUGAAUGCCUUGGCACUAGGAGCCGAUGAAGGACGGGACUAACACCGAUAUGCUUCGGGGAGCUGUACGUAAGCUAUGAUCCGGAGAUUUCCGAAUGGGGCAACCCAGCAGUUUUAAUCAACUGUUACCACUAGAUGAAUUCAUAGUCUAGUUGGAGGUAAACGCUGUGAACUGAAACAUCUCAUUAGCAGCAGGAAUAUAAAGAAAUUUCGAUUCCCUAAGUAGCGGCGAGCGAACGGGGAACAGCCCAAACCAAAGUGCUUGCACUUUGGGGUUGUAGGACUGAACAUUUGAGUUACCAAAGAACUUGAUAGUCGAAGGAUUUGGGAAAAUCCGCCAUAGAUGGUGAUAGCCCAGUAGAUUAAAUCAAAUUCUCUCAGUUCAGGAUCCUGAGUACGGCGGAACACGUGAAAUUCCGUCGGAAUCCGGGAGGACCAUCUCCCAAGGCUAAAUACUACCUAGUGACCGAUAGUGAACCAGUACCGUGAGGGAAAGGUGAAAAGCACCCCGGGAGGGGAGUGAAAUAGUUCCUGAAACCAUGUGCCUACAAUAAGUCAGAGCGCGUUAAUGCGUGAUGGCGUGCCUUUUGUAGAAUGAACCGGCGAGUUAUGAUCCCGUGCAAGGUUAAGACUAAAAAGUCGGAGCCGUAGCGAAAGCGAGUCUGAAAUGGGCGUUUUGAGUACGAGGUUAUAGACCCGAAACCAGGUGACCUAUCCAUGUCCAGGUUGAAGGUGCGGUAAAACGCACUGGAGGACCGAACCCGUGUAAGUUGAAAAUUGCUGGGAUGAGGUGUGGAUAGCGGUGAAAUUCCAAACGAACUUGGAGAUAGCUGGUUCUCUCCGAAAUAGCUUUAGGGCUAGCCUCGGAAUUAGGAUCAUGGAGGUAGAGCACUAUUUGGACUAGGGGCCCGUCUUGGGUUACUGAAUUCAGAUAAACUCCGAAUGCCAUUGAUUCAUAUCCGGGAGUCAGACGAUGAGUGAUAAGAUCCACCGUCGAAAGGGGAACAGCCCAGACCAUCAGUUAAGGUCCCUAAAUGUAUGCUAAGUGGAAAAGGAUGUGGAGUUGCAUAGACAACUAGGAUGUUGGCUCAGAAGCAGCCACCAUUUAAAGAGUGCGUAAUAGCUCACUAGUCGAGUGAUCCUGCGCCGAAAAUGUACCGGGGCUAAGCAUACUACCGAAACCAUGGAUGCGACCAUUAGGUCGCGUGAUAGGAGAGCGUUCUAAGGGCGGUGAAGCAAGAUCGUGAGGACUUGUGGAGCGCUUAGAAGUGAGAAUGCCGGUAUGAGUAGCGAAAGAUAGGUGAGAAUCCUAUCCACCGAAUGACUAAGGUUUCCUGGGGAAGGCUCGUCCUCCCAGGGUUAGUCGGGACCUAAGUCGAGGCCGAGAGGCGUAGACGAUGGAUAACAGGUUGAGAUUCCUGUACUAGUUAAGUGCGUUUGAGCAAUGGAGGGACGCAGGAGGCUAAGAUGUGCAUUCUGUUGGAUUAGAAUGUCCAAGCAGUAAGUCUUGUGAAGAGUCAAAUGCUUUUCACUUUAAGGACAAGCUGUGAUGGGGAGCGAAAUUUAGUAGCGAAGCGUCUGAUGUCACACUGCCGAGAAAAGCUUCUAGUGAGUACUUAACUACCCGUACCGCAAACCGACACAGGUAGUCGAGGAGAGAAUCCUAAGGUGAGCGAGUGAACUCUCGUUAAGGAACUCGGCAAAAUGACCCCGUAACUUCGGGAGAAGGGGUGCUGAUCGCAAGAUCAGCCGCAGUGAAUAGGCCCAGGCGACUGUUUAUCAAAAACACAGGUCUCUGCAAAAUCGUAAGAUGACGUAUAGGGGCUGACGCCUGCCCGGUGCUGGAAGGUUAAAAGGAUGGGUUAGCUUCGGCGAAGCUCAGAAUUGAAGCCCCAGUAAACGGCGGCCGUAACUAUAACGGUCCUAAGGUAGCGAAAUUCCUUGUCGGGUAAGUUCCGACCCGCACGAAAGGCGUAACGAUCUGGGCACUGUCUCAACGAGAGACUCGGUGAAAUUAUAUUGUCCGUGAAGAUGCGGACUACCCGCGACAGGACGGAAAGACCCCAUGGAGCUUUACUGUAGCUUGAUAUUGAGUGUUUGUACAGCUUGUACAGGAUAGGUAGGAGCCAUAGAAACCGGAACGCUAGUUUCGGUGGAGGCGUUGGUGGGAUACUACCCUCGCUGUAUGACCACUCUAACCCGCACCACUAAUCGUGGUGGGAGACAGUGUCAGGUGGGCAGUUUGACUGGGGCGGUCGCCUCCUAAAAAGUAACGGAGGCGCCCAAAGGUUCCCUCAGAAUGGUUGGAAAUCAUUCGCAGAGUGUAAAGGCACAAGGGAGCUUGACUGCGAGACAGACAGGUCGAGCAGGGACGAAAGUCGGGCUUAGUGAUCCGGUGGUACCGUAUGGAAGGGCCAUCGCUCAACGGAUAAGAGCUACCCUGGGGAUAACAGGCUUAUCUCCCCCAAGAGUCCACAUCGACGGGGAGGUUUGGCACCUCGAUGUCGGCUCAUCGCAUCCUGGGGCUGUAGUCGGUCCCAAGGGUUGGGCUGUUCGCCCAUUAAAGCGGUACGCGAGCUGGGUUCAGAACGUCGUGAGACAGUUCGGUCCCUAUCCGUCGCGGGCGUAGGAAAUUUGAGAGGACCUGUCCUUAGUACGAGAGGACCGGGAUGGACAUACCUCUGGUGUACCAGUUGUGCCGCCAGGCGCAUCGCUGGGUAGCUACGUAUGGAUGUGAUAAACGCUGAAAGCAUCUAAGUGUGAAACACACCUCGAGAUGAGAUUUCCCAUUCCUUUAUGGAAGUAAGACCCCUGAAAGAUGAUCAGGUAGAUAGGUUAGAAGUGGCAGUGCGGUGACGCAUGAAGCGGACUAAUACUAAUCGGUCGAGGACUUAACCAA